UUAUUAUUAAUCAACAGGAAUCUUGAUUGAAAUAAGAUUUAUUUAUUAAAAUAUUACAUAAUGAGUGAUUACCUUUAACCUAAAAAUAGUAUUACAAUUUCAACAAAUGGAAAUGGAAGAAGAUCAAGGAUUUUUUUAACAAAGUAAACAAAGAAAAUUGUACUUAUUGGAAUCGUAUCCAUUCUUAAUCAAUAUUAUAAUUCUAUUUUCAUAUUUCUGUUUAUUUUCUUAUAUUUCUCGAUGUGAAGUCAUCAAGGCAAAAAUGACAUCAUAUUCUGAUCACAAACCAGUUUUCACUGACUUUAAUACCGGUUCUCUACAGUAGAACUCUAGAGAAUAUCAAUACAGUUGUCAGAUGAGGUCUUAGCCUCAAAAAGUUCAUAGUUAUAUCUUUAAGUUCGGAUAAAUCUCAAAAAUUGAAAAAAAAUCUCUAUAUAAAAUAAAUAUUGAAUCCAUCUGUAAUUUUGAACAAGUUUUUUUUUAAAAAAAUUGAUUGGUCAAGAAAAAUUAACUGAUAUUGGAUAUUGUAUGUUGGAUGCUGUGCGAAACCGUUAUGCAACCUGCAGUGUGUAAAGCGGUCUUUAGGUACUCGAAUUCCCGUUGCCUUGUCCUCAUGUUUUGGCAUUUGAAGAAUGGUUAUAGAAAACCAUAAGCUAAAAGCCUAAUUGUAAUAUUAUAUGUAUCAUAUAAAAUUUUUACUAUAUAUUUUAUAUAUAUAGUAUUUUAUAUAUAUAGUAUUUUAUAUAUAUAGUAUACUAUAUAAGAUAAUAUUUUUUUUAAUUUUUAAUUGAAAAUUUAGAACAAUAUAGAAUAAUAAUUUGUUAAUGAAAUAAAAAUUAUAAAAAUUAUUUUUUAAUGAAAUAAAAUAUAUAAGAAUAAUA